rnacentral:tRNA from 1 species
CCCGUGGGUGAGGCUACAGCUCACCG